CUAGCCGAAGGCGUGAAGCGGGGCCAGUAACCCUCCACGGUGUGGGAGGCCUCAGCAACUACCCUGAGGUUUGCGAUGAAGCCCGCCCCGUGGGGUCGGCGGUGACGGAGCGUCCCCUGGAGGGGGGACGCCAACCGUCUUUGCAGGGGGAAUCGGCCAGGCCCGGAAGGGAGCAACCUAACUCCUGACGCCGACGUUCACGGGUCACCGGGUGGAGGACGGCCUCAGGUGCUGGUUGCUGAGGUCUCUCACGCUGUGGAGGGGGCCACGCC
rnacentral:SRP_RNA from 1 species